ensembl:snRNA U6 U6 spliceosomal RNA
GAGUUUGCUUCGGCGGCGCACAUACUAAAACUGGAACAAUACAGAGAAGAUUGGCACGACCCCUGCACAAGAUAGAGAUGGAGACGGUAGAGUUAGCAACUCUUCUG